rnacentral:lncRNA from 1 species
AUGCAAUUUCGUUAUUUAAUUAAUGGCCAUGAUUUUUAGUACAUUCGCACCAUGCCUUUACUUUUAAUCAAUGGACCGCAUUUUUGACAAUGCUUGUGAUGUCAGAGUAAUCCGGGGAGCAGAAAUGGCUCCUCUGAACACAGCGUGCGCAAACCAACUGAAUGAGCCAGAGGAAGUGGCGGGUGAUGUAGUCCACACCUUUCCGGUAGAUCAGAGUUGUAAAGCACAGACAGAACAAUGAGACAGAUAUUUCACCAGACGUAUAAAUGUGAAGCCCGGUUCCACUUACUACCAAAUAUGGUGAUGAACGGAAGUCCAGUAGCCCGAAAGUCGGAGAAGAUGGAGCGAGAAAGAUUUUGGCCGACAGAGGUCAUUAAGGUAAUUUUCUCAUCAAUGAAACAUUUGAUCUUGAUACCGUUUCCCAAACUAUAAUCUGUAACAAACAGAGUGGACUGCGUUUUAUAGACUUUACCCUUUGCCAAAGUUUUAAAAAAUUGCGUUGUUUAGAAGGAGUGCAAGGGCGAAUUGAGUUAUUGCACAAGCGCACUUCAGAGUAGGCGUUCCUUAACUGAAAUAUGCAAAUAAAUGAUAGAAUGCACCAAUAAUAUCUAACUAGCUUGUGCUUGGCUCUGCCCACCUCUUGCUUGUCCUGCCCACUAUUAAUUUGCUCCCAUUGGAAACGACAGGCUCUGGUCUAUCUUGGGUUUGCUAUAAUAAUCUUUGGUAGUAGCACUUCAACUCGACUGAAAAGGAGAGAAACGAAAGCAGGUUGGAAAUUACUGAGAGGAGGGGGGAAACAGAAGGUGGUGCUGAUCGAAACAAGGGCGAGGAGGGGGACCUCGAAACACACUCACCAAGAGGAAGUCCAGAGUACCGCAGUGUUUUUGGAGGGCCUAUUCGAUUUCCUUGGUCUAUCAACAGUCCCCGCCCCUCUGACCCGGAAUUUAAUAGAAAUCGAUAGGAAUAAGAAAUCGAUCAUAUUAACAUUUUGUGACAGCUACAAUUAAGAAGUAUACGGCUUGUCAUACAAUUUACUUUCCAAACCUUUGGGUACAAAUUUGAACUUGGAUGCCUCAAACUCUGAGCAGUAAGUUAUUAGCAGCAAUCCUCAUAGUUACUGAUUUGUCACCAGGAAUAAGCUUAUUUUUGCCAGUUUAUUUGACAGACCGACACAUUCGUUAAGCAUUGAUUUGAUCCUGACUGCUCAGGGUGAGCUUCAUAUUUCACACCAUGUCCAUUGAUAGUUAGUUGCAGGGUUACGCCUGAUUAAGCAAAUAAAUCAAGUUGAAAGCUGCAUGGUUUUGACAUUAAGGAAGUAAUACGGGACGUACUGAAGAACCCAACCAGUUUUUUUUAAUUUGACAAGG